AUGCAGUCGUACGAGAACACCCUAGCUUGCUAGGGUAAGUAAAGUGGCGCACGGGUGAGUAACGCGUGGGUAAUCUACCUUCGAAUUGGGGAUAACGUUGCGAAAGCGACGCUAAUACCGAAUAACAUCCAUUAAUCUUCGGGUUUUUGGAUCAAGGGUGGCCUCUACAUGUAAGCUACUGUUUGAAGAUGAGCCCGCGUACCAUUAGCUUGUUGGUGGGGUAAUGGCCUACCAAGGCAGCGAUGGUUAGCUGGUCUGAGAGGAUGAUCAGCCACACUGGAACUGACACACGGUCCAGACUCCUACGGGAGGCAGCAGUGAGGAAUUUUGCGCAAUGGGGGAAACCCUGACGCAGCAACGCCGCGUGAGUGAUGAAGGCUUUCGGGUCGUAAAGCUCUGUCAAGUGGGAAGAACCUGCAGUAUGCUAAUAUCAUAUUGCACUGACGGUACCACUGAAGGAAGCACCGGCUAACUCCGUGCCAGCAGCCGCGGUAAUACG
rnacentral:rRNA from 1 species